rnacentral:rRNA from 1 species
GUCGUAACAAGGUUUCCGUAGGUGAACCUGCGGAAGGAUCAUUACAGAAUGAAAAGUGCUUAACUGCAUUUUUUCUUACACAUGUGUUUUUCUUUUUUUGAAAACUUUGCUUUGGUAGGCCUUCUAUAUGGGGCCUGCCAGAGAUUAAACUCAACCAAAUUUUAUUUAAUGUCAACCGAUUAUUUAAUAGUCAAAACUUUCAACAACGGAUCUCUUGGUUCUCGCAUCGAUGAAGAACGCAGCGAAAUGCGAUAAGUAAUAUGAAUUGCAGAUAUUCGUGAAUCAUCGAAUCUUUGAACGCACAUUGCGCCCUUUGGUAUUCCAAAGGGCAUGCCUGUUUGAGCGUCAUUUCUCCCUCAAACCCUCGGGUUUGGUGUUGAGCGAUACGCUGGGUUUGCUUGAAAGAAAGGCGGAGUAUAAACUAAUGGAUAGGUUUUUUCCACUCAUUGGUACAAACUCCAAAACUUCUUCCAAAUUCGACCUCAAAUCAGGU